rnacentral:tRNA from 1 species
GCCCCGGUGGCACAACUGGAUAGCGCGGCCGCCUCCUAAGCGGCAGGUUACAGGUUCGAUUCCUGUCCGGGGCGCCA